rnacentral:piRNA from 1 species
UCGUCCCUUUUAAGGAGAAUUAUCCUCUGC